rnacentral:rRNA from 1 species
AAGAAAAAAUUUAAUUAUUUUUAUUGUUUUAUAAUUAUUUAAUAUAAAUAAAUUUAAGUUUAUAAGUUUUUGUAUUGUUUAAAGAUCUAAUAAUUUUUUUAAUAGUUUAAUAGUAUUGAGAAAGAAAAUUGAAAAAUUAUUUUGUUUAUUAAAAAGUAGUAUUAAUUUUGUGUACCUUUUGUAUCAGGGUUUAUUAAAUAAUAGUAAAAUAUUUUAUUUUCUCGAAUUUAAAGGAGCUAAUUUAAUAUGAGAGUUUUUGUGUUAUAAAGAUUUUAAAUAUUAAUUUAGUAAUGAAAUGUUAUUCGUCUUUUAAGAUAUCUAGUUUUUUAAGAAAUAAAUUUAAUUUAUAUAUUAAUUAAUUAAUUUUUUAAUUUUAAAAUAGAUUAAUAAUUAAUAUAAAUAUAUCAAGGGAUAAGCUUUGAUUUAUUAAAAUUAUAAUUAUAUUAAAUAUUUAAUUAAUUGUAGAUUUAGAAAUAGUUAUCAAUAAAAAAUUUGUAUUAAUUUAUAAAUUUAAAAAAAAUAUUUAGGAAAAUUUAAUUUUAGUAUUAAAAUAUAGAUUUUAAUUUUUAAAAUUUAGUAAUAAUGAUAAAAUUAGUAUAAUAAUAUUGUUUAAAUAUAAUUUAUAAAAAAAUUAUUUUAAGGAAUUCGGCAAAUAUAAUGUUCACCUGUUUAACAAAAACAUGUCUUUUAGAGUAUAAUUUAAAGUCUAACCUGCCCACUGAAUUUUUUUGAAGGGCCGCGGUAUUUUGACUGUGCAAAGGUAGCAUAAUCAUUAGUCUUUUAAUUGGAGGCUUGUAUGAAUGGUUGGAUGAAACAUUAACUGUCUCAAUUUAAUAAAAGUAGAAUUUAAUUUUUAAGUUAAAAAGCUUAAAUUUAAUUAGAGGACGAGAAGACCCUAUAGAUCUUUAUAAUUUAUUAUUUAUUAUUUAUAUAGUAAGUUAAUUAAUAUUAAUUAAUUGAUUAUUUUAUUGGGGUGAUAAAUAAAUUUAGUAAACUUUAUUUUAUAUAAACAUUAAUUUAUGAAUAUUUGAUCCAUUAUUAGUGAUUAAAAGAUUAAGUUACCUUAGGGAUAACAGCGUAAUUUUUUUAGAGAGUUCUUAUCGAUAAAAAAGUUUGCGACCUCGAUGUUGAAUUAAAGGUUAAUUUUAGGUGCAGAAGUUUAAAGUUUUGGUCUGUUCGACCAUUAAAUCUUUACAUGAUUUGAGUUCAAACCGGCGUGAGCCAGGUUGGUUUCUAUCCUUAAUAAAAUAAAAUAUUUUAGUACGAAAGGACCAAAUAUUUAAAAAAGUUUUUGUAAUAAGAAUUAUAUUAAU